CAGCAGUAGCCGCGGUAAUACGAAGGGUGCAAGCGUUAAUCGGAAUUACUGGGCGUAAGGCGUGCGUAGGCGGUUUGUUAAGUCUGUUGUGAAAUCCCCGGGUUCAACCUGGGAAUGGCAAUGGAUACUGGCAAGCUAGAGUGUGUCAGAGGAUGGUGGAAUUCCCGGUGUAGCGGUGAAAUGCGUAGAGAUCGGGAGGAACAUCAGUGGCGAAGGCGGCCAUCUGGGACAACACUGACGCUGAGGCACGAAAGCGUGGGGAGCAAACAGGAUUAGAGACCCCUGUAGUCCCUGUCUCUUAUAC
rnacentral:rRNA from 1 species